CAAUAGCGUAUAUUAAAGCUGUUGCGGUUAAAAAGCUCGUAGUUGGAUUUCUGUCAAGGACAACUGGUCCGCCCUCCGGGUGAGCACAUAGUUUGGUCUUGGCAUCUUGCUGGAAACUGUUGCUGCGCUUGGUUGUGUGGUGCAGCUUUCAGCACUUUCACUUUGAGGAAAUUGGAGUGUUUCAAGCAGGCACAUGCCUUUGGACACAGUAGCAUGGAAUAAUUAGAUUGGGCUUUUGCUCCAACUUGUUGGUUCCUGGAGCUGAGGUGAGAAUCAAUGGGGAUUGUUGGGGGCAUCCGAAUUUAGCCGUCAGAGGUGAAAUUCUUGGAUCUGCUAAAGACGGACAACUGCGAAAGCGUUUGCCCAGGAUGGUUUCAUUGA
rnacentral:rRNA from 1 species